CGGCGCCUCCGAAUGCUUUCGGAAUCAUACCGAUGCUAGGGACCAGGGAUUUACCAGACGAUAUUCGCACAUGAUUUUCCAGCGAAUGGGCGUUGUCCAAAUAAACUGGUGCGCGCCUCCGAAUGCUUUCGGAAUCAUACCGAUGCUAGGGACCAGGGAUUUACCAGACGAUAUUCGCACAUGAUUUUUAUACACACUCGUAAUUCGCGGGCACAGAGAAUUUUCGAAGUCCGUAAGAACAGUCAAAAUGGUUAUCAUGACAGAGAUGGACUGCAAGCCAAUGAAUUGUGGAUACUAUCAUGAACGCUUCUAAGGAUGAACUACCGUUAAGCUGAUUCAAUGCCAGAAGUUUCCAACAAAGUUGCCACCCUUGGUUUUUCAUGAAUGUACUGUGCCCGUCAAACAAUAUUGUGCUCUAUUAUUAGGCCUACGUACCAGUAAAGUCUGGGGCCAGAUUUCUUAGGGCCUAAAUUGAAAUUAAUAAUAACAUUAAUUAAACUGAAAUGGAACAUGAGUAAUUUGUUUUAAAUCACUUUUAACAAAUAAACUAAAUCUUCAUGAUGUUUAGACGUCAAGACUAUAGAUGCAUAAAACUAAGUCUUCAAAUUGAUUUAACCUAACCCAAACCUAAGGCCAAAGCUAAUAACAUAGGAAAAUUAAACUUCUAAUUUUAAAAAGCAACUCACUACUCAACAAAAGGAAUCAAUCUUAUGUUUAGACCUCAAAAAAAUGAAUGGCUAACAUUAAUUCUUCAACACAUUUUCAAAUAAAUUAGAAAUGUUAAACAGCAUUAUAUGAAUGUAACCAUACCUAAGUUUAAACCUAAUUAAUGUACAUGUAAAAAUAUACUCAAAAUUUAAAGCAACUCUCUUAAAUUAGGAGGGUAAAUCCAGUUUUGAUUGCAAAUACAUUGUAGCAUCCAAGAAUGCCAAAAGUCGUUUUGUAUCAACUUUGCAAAUUAAAGUGUAGACCCUUGCAGUGUUUUUUUUUAGGUCAUUCCCCGCAUGCAACUACUAACAGAUCACCAUACCACAAGCCAUAACAGGUAUACAUAUCACCCAAUAGUCAAUAUAGUAUAAUUUUAGCACACCAAUGGUCACUCUGACCAAUUUUGACCCAAGUAACAGCACGGCACACAAUGCAGAGUAGGGUUAACCAAUGUCCAUAACAGGUACACACUUUAACCACUAACCAGCACAGACUUAUCAAAAUGCUGCAAGGGCUGAACAAAAUUGCGUGUAUCUUGGGAACAUGAGUUCACUUGUGUGAUAGUUUGGUUUUCAAAGCUGGAUUGCUAUAAAAAAAUUCUUAAAUAUGUGUAGUGUUAACGGAUUUUAUGGAAAAGAAAAAAAUCAAGUCAACUUUACAUGUGACUUGAGCACAGAAUGGAGGAGAAAUUGUAAGACUUCAACAAAUACUUUCAGAGCAUUAAAUAAAUGUAGGUUAAACUAAAAAAGUACAAUUUAAACUCUGAGCGGCCUGAUAUUUCGUCUUUGGCACAACUCUUUAACUUUUUGAUUUGUAUAUUUUGGGUCAAUCCAGUCAGUGAGCAGUAAUUUGAAGCAGCUUAAUUAUUUUUCACAAUUUAAACUUCACACCUACAUGUUCUAGUUCUAGGGAAAGAGAAAUUAUGUUAAAAUUAAAAUUAAAUUGAAAAUUGGAAUGGAACUAUACUUGGAUAGAAAUUAUCAAAAUGGUACAAAAUCAGCAAGACAAAAAGAACACCUUAAAUCUAAAAUUUAUACCGGUACUUAAACACCACAUUAAAAGAGAUUUUGUUAAAAAAAGAUUACGAUUAACCUUAAACAAGAAAUGAACUGACAAAUAGCCUAAAGCUAUAACCACAAUUAAUGUUCUUAAAACGAAAGAUAAAUUCUGAAAUUGAUUCCAGUUGGCCCUGGACAUACCUGGGACAAUGGCCAGUACAGAGCAAGACAUGUAAAAGAAUGUGAGUGUCUUUAUGGGGAAACUCUUAAACUUAACUCCAAGUUGCCCCAUGAUAAACUUUUGACAAUGUGCAAGACAAACUAUGAAAUUAUGAGGAUGACAUCGUCAGGAUGGGAACUAUAGAAGAGCUCAGCCAGAUGGAUGGUGUGAUGAACAGAUAUGAUGUAAGCCACAGCGGAAGGAGGAAAAUCGUCAACCAACGAGGGACUCAUUGCUACGAUAAAGGACAAGGAAUUUAUCAUCAACAUGUCUGAUGUGGACUAUGGAACAACAAUAGGGUCAAUACUGCAGCAACUUUCAUAAAAAGGAUGGAUCUGACUUUAACCCAACAGUGUGGACUUGGUGAAAACUGCUGCGAAACUCUUGACCAUAAUGGUAGCACGAUUGAAGGACACACCCCCCUUGAACUCCAUGCCAUUUUUGGAAACUUGACACUCAGAGGAUGAGCUUGUUUGAAAUGAAGAUGCUUGUUUGGAAGGACCGACUUGAACUUUGGGGAACAAUGACUUUCUGAUGUUGAACGAGGAAAGCUGAUGAUUUUCAGAUGUUGGGAUCAGUGGAAUUCGCCAUCUUUACUACCAGUGGAGGCAUGUCUCAUUCUGGAAACUUGGAGGUACUCUUCAGACGUUAUCUGGCUGUGAGCAUGUGACCAAGAUGUCUGGAUUGCAGAAGUCUUCCGAAGUUGUUAGUUCACCGCCGGGCCAGACGAUGGACCAGAUCUGCUUGAAUAGAGGCCGGGGGACAAGAUUGCAUGUUCAUAAGGUGAGGUAACCAUUGUAUGCAGGCUUGAACAUGCACAAGACCCCCGGAUGUUGCCGCCGUACAGUUUGCAAGUGGAGUCGCUUGGAUUGUGUGGUAGAUUAGAGCGAGGGGGACAAGGUUGCAUGUAAACCCAGGUGAGGUAACCAUUUCUCUACAGCUCUUCUAGGCCACAUGCCUCAAGACUUGUCCCCCUGGAUUCUGGAUGUUGUUCUGUGGAUUGUGCAGAGUGGUAUCCUGUUUUGACUGAUCUAACCAGGAUAGGCCUAUUCAUCUUGCUGUGGGUGGCCUGAAGAUGCAUCAGUGUCUUGUCAGAGUUAUGGGCAGAAAGAAGACUGAUGAGAAACGCACCAGAGACAAGAUAUCUGCUGCAGUACCUGUCAACUAGGACUAUCAGCAUUUUAAGGUUGUAGACUACUGACACCAUUCAAUGCCACAUCACCAGAGCGGGAGCAAACAUCAUGGCUCUACCACAUCAGCCUUCCUGCGACAACGCUCGGCCUCGAUCAGUCGGAUCUACCAGGCACAUAUCAGCAAGAACUGUGAUCCUCUCAUAUCACCCACCUUUUCUCAGAGGGUCACAACCAGAAGGCAGACUGAUGAGAAAGACACAAGAUAUCUGCUGCACAAACUGUGAGCAAGGACUAUCGGCAUUGUAAGGUAUACCAUACAUCAAAUAUAAUCAUCAGACUUCGGCGGAGACAAUGCUCCUCAUGAGUGGAUCCAGAAGGCAGACUGCAUGGGGGCUUCAGAGGCUCGGCCAGUAGCCAGGAAGUUACAUCUCAGAGCAAUGGGGAGACGCACCUGAAGUUGUUGCACAUUUGGAUCAAUCUGGACAGCAUCAGACACUACAGAUGAAACUUAGCAUUUGAGGGGGGGGGGGCCAAUAAUUUGGACACAUGGCGCCCCCCCCCCCACCCACCUGGACAACUUGAGCUUGGAGACUUCGCUGAUGAGGAUUCGGAUCCACGAAGGAACUGGGUUGGUGCGCAUUAUUCAACUGGAUCGCACAACAAACCAAACUGAAAACCCGCGUAAUUUUUCGCAAUUUCACUAGACAGUUAAUGAGAACUGUACUGUUUUAAUUAAUUAACUGUUGCGGACAUUUAUGUCUUCGUUCAUCUUGCAAGAAGAAAGGGAUGCAAUGCUCAAACUGUAAACAAAUCUGAGCACAUGAUCGCUGUAAACACACGGGACCCUUGGAGAAACAACUGUGCUUGCUAUUAAACUUUUUGACUGAAGAUCGAUGGAACUGUAAUGAAUGGUGGUGGGAAAUAUGAGACGGCUGAGUUAUUUUUAUUUUGCUUUUUGUCUAUAUUUUCAAAUAUGUGUUUGUGAUCGUGCAUGAUAUCAAUGUUGGUGGUUUCUCCACAGGUUGUGGCUCAAAUUUAGCAUAUGGGCUGCAAGACUAUGGACUAUGGGAUCAUCUAUAUCCCUAUGUCCUCCAGACGGCAUAGAUGAUGGGAUCAGAUUCCCAACACAGGACCAGCAGGACUAUGGGAUCUUCUAUAUCCCUAUGUCCAUCCGGGGCGGAUCUUGGGUGAUAGUUGAAGGGGGUUAUCCAAUAUCACCUCCCUGGGGAGCAAAUACGUAUUUAAGCAACAUUCAAUAUUACUCCUGGGAGGAGAACAGCUAAAGUUGUAAUGAUCAUCACAGACAUUUUAGAGUGGUUAUCAAUAAAACAAAAUAGGAAUAGGUUAAGGAAUUUGCCCCCAUCUCCAUCGCUUUAAGGCUCUACAAAUUUAAUUUAAUACAAGUAGCACUCCGCCUUUAGGGCAUAAACACGUACUCCCAUAGGGACUGUUUAAAAAAAAAAAAAUUCUAGCAAACCUCAAAUUUAUAAUUCAGUGGAAUCACGCUUAUAUCCAUCUAAUAACUUAAGACUAUGGGAUCACCUAUAUCCCUAUGUCGUUUUAGGGCUAAGGUGGAGUUCACUGGGUCUCUAACCGAGAAGUGCGGCAAAAACCCAGAUGCGAAAUGUACUGGGUGGCCGUCAUGGGUACGGGCCCUUGUCUGGUGACACUAGGAUGCUUGUCUGGAGCAAAACAUUGAAAAGAAGGGAUUAGAUUCCCAACACAGGACCAGCAGGACUAUGGGAUCAUCUAUAUCCCUAUGUCCUCCUCUAUAUCCCUAUGUCCUCCAGACGGCAUAGAUGACGGGAUCAGAUUCCCAACACAGGACCAGCAGGACUAUGGGAUCUUCUAUAUCCCUACGUCCAUCCGGGUUCACUGAGAACCAUUGGAAUCACCUCUAUAAGUUGCCCCUGGAUUAACUUUUGAUAAUGUUCAAGACAAACUUGGAAAUCGUAAAGACGGCAUUGCUGGAACAAGGGAACUAAAAACAUGUCAUAAGAGAAAAGUGUGAAGAACAGAUGUUUACGGAAGGAGGCAAAUCAUCAUCAUCGACUCAUCACUGAGGUAAAGGACAAGGAACUUCUCAUCAGCAUGUGUGACUUGGACUAAAGUUCACUAACAGAGGCAACCAUGCAGAAAUUUUCGGAGAACGAACUUUAUAUACAAACUGUUGUUGUGAGCGUUGCAUUUCUCCAUUGUGUACUCGUGCAAAUUGCUGCAACAAUCCACCAUAAUCUUGGAAGCACAGUUGGAGAACUUGCCUAUGCCAUUUCGGGGACCUUGACACUUGGAGGAUGAGCUUCUUUAGAAGGAUGGACUUUAACUUUUGGGAACAGUGACUUUCUGAUAUUGGACAAGUGAAAUUCUGAUGACCUUCUGAUGUUGGGAUCAGCGGCAUUCACCAUCUUCACUACCAGUGGAGGCAUGCCCCAUUCUGGAAUCUCUUGAGGCCAGCAGAUCCCUUGAGACGUUAUCUGGCUGUGAGCAUGACCAAGACGCUUGGAUUGCAGAAGUCUACUGAAGUUGGGAUGGGCAGACCGAAGGACCAGACAUCUUGGGUAGAGGCCGGGGGACAAGAUUGUAUGUUCAUAAGGUAAGGUAACCAUUGUAUGCAGGCUUGAACAUGCACAAGACCCCCGGAUGUUGCUGUACAGUUUGCAAGUGGAGUCGCGAUGGAUUGUGUGGUAGAUUAGAACGAGGGGGACAAGGUUGCAUGUAAACCCAGGUGAGGUAACCAUUUCUCUGCAGCUCUUCUAGGCCACAUGCCUCAAGACUUGUCCCCCUGGAUUCUGGAUGUUGUUCUGUGGAUUCUGGAUGUUGUUCUGUGGAUUGUGCAGAGUGGUAUCCUGUUUUGACUGAUCUAACCAGGAUAGGCCUAUUCAUCUUGCUGUGGGUGGCCUGAAGAUGCAGCAGUGUCUUGUCAGAGAUGUACAGUCAUAGCCAGAAAGCAGACUGAUGAGAAACACACCAGAUACAAGAUAUCUGCUGCAGUAACUGUGAGCAAGGACUAUCAGCGUUGGAAGGUUGUAGACUACUGUCACAAUUCAACACCACAUCACCGGAGUGGGAGCAAACAUCAUGGCUCUAUCAUAUCAGCCUUCCUGCGACAACGCUCGGCCUCAUCAGUCAGAUCUACCAGGCACAGAUCAGCAAGGACUGUGAUCCUCUCAUAUCACCCACCUUGGCUCGUAGAGGUUGUAGACUACUGGCACCAUUCAAUGCCACAUCACUGGACUGGGAGCAACCAUCAUGGCUCAGCCUCAUCAGUCAGGAAUAAGGGAUGGACCAUACAGCAAUUAUGAUCAUCAUCAGGAUCAGCCAUGCAGACUUCAGCAGAGACAAUUAAUGCUCCUCUCAGGUGGAUCUGGAAGGCAGACUGAUGGGGGCUUCAGAGGCUCGGCUAGUAGUCAGGAAUUUACAUUUCGGACCGAUCGGAAGACGCUCCUGAAGUUGUGCGCAUUUGGAUAAAUCUGGACAGCAUCACACUAUAGAUGGAAAUGAGCAUUGGGGGGAGGGCGAUAAUUGGCCAGACGGCACCCCUCCUUCAUCUCGACCACUGCAGCUUGAAGAUUUAACUUUUUAGGUUUCGGAGCCACGAAGGAACUGGAUUGGUGCACAUUAUUCAAGUGGAUCGCGAAAAGAAUAAAAUUUAAAACCCGCGUAAUUUCUCGCAAUGUGACUUGACAGUUAAUUAGAACUGCUUCAAGUUUGCCAUACUUAUGAACUACUGCUGAUUCGGAUGUCUGUGUUUGUCUUGCAAGAAGAAAGGGAUUUAGUUCCCAAACUGUGUCGACGACGCGUGAUCACUGGACCCUAUGGAGAAACCAUUGUGCGUGCUUUUAACAUUGAUGAAUGGAAGACCGAUGGAACUGUUCAUCAUAGGAACUUUCAUGAGUGGUGGUGGGAAAUAUUGAGACAGCUGAGUUUUCAAAUAUUUGAUAGUUGAAUUGUUAUUUGUUACCUCAAAGGUAUUUUUCAAAGUCAUGUGUUGACAUGUGACUGUUGUGCAUUUAGAGAAAUCAUUGUGCAUGUUUUCAACCUUUUGUUGAACUGAGACUGACGGAAAUUUCAUCAUCAGAAUUUUCAUAAGUGGUGGUGGGAAAUAUUGAAACAGCUGAGUUUUUAAAUGUUUGAUAUUGUAAUUAUUUUGAAGCUGUGAUUUAUUUGGUCAAAAUUUUGAUGCUUAAUAAUUGCUAUUAAGGCGUCCCUCUUUUUAUUCAAUGGUUCUCAUUUCUGAUGAUGUGAAUCAGUAGCAUAUCCAGCUUUUGAUGUCAGGGGGGCAAUUGCACAUCCGCCCCGAAAUGUAGACUUUUUUCUCGGGAUACUUGGCCUCCGUAAAAUU